rnacentral:rRNA from 1 species
AGAUACCCUAUUAUUUUAUUUGUAAAAUUUUGUUAGGGUAUUAAUAGAUAAUUUCUUUAAACCCAAAGAAUUUGGCGGCAUUUUAUUCUAUUCAGAGGAACCUAUUCCGUGAUUGAUAAUACACGAUUAGUUGAACUUAAUUUAUUUGUUUGUAUAUCUCCGUUAUCAGUUAAUCUUUUUAGAGUUAUAAAAUUUUCUUUAUUCUUAAUUAGGAAAUAUUUCAGGUCAAGGUGCAGCUAAUAAUUAAGGGGAAAUGGGUUACAUUGAAUUUAAUUUGUUGUUUUUAUUAAUGUAAAUUUUUAAUUAAGUUGGAUUUGAUAGUAAUUUAUUU